UGGUGGAGUGAUUUGUCUGGUUAAUUCCGUUAACGAACGAGACCUUAACCUGCUAAAUAGUUAUGCGAACUCUGGUUCGUACUUAACUUCUUAGAGGGACUGUGGAUGUUUAAUCCACGGAAGUUUGAGGCAAUAACA
rnacentral:rRNA from 1 species